GCCCAGCCGUAAACUUUUACUUACACUCAAUCGCCAGGGAACUACGAGGUAAGCUUAAAACCCAAAGGACUUGACGGUACCCCAUAUCCCCCUAGAGGAGCCUGUCCUAUAAUCGAUAACCCACGUUAAACCUCACCAUUUUUAGUUAAUCAGCCUGUAUACCUCCGUCGUCAGCUUACCACGUGAGCGUUAAUUAGUGAGCCUAAUGUUUUUCACCAAUACGUCAGGUCAAGGUGCAGCAAAUGAAAUGGGAAGAGAUGGGCUACACUCUCUAUUUUAGAAAAAACGAAAAACUACCUAUGAAACACUAGUUAGAAGGCGGAUUUAGCCAGUAAGAAACGGAGCAUGUCCCUUUUAAUCCGGCACUGGGGUGUGUACACACCGCCCGUCA
rnacentral:rRNA from 1 species